rnacentral:rRNA from 1 species
UACGUAGGGUGCGAGCGUUGUCCGGAAUUAUUGGGCGUAAAGGGCUCGUAGGCGGUUUGUCGCGUCGGGAGUGAAAACCUCGGGCUUAACUCGGGGCUUGCUUUCGAUACGGGCAGACUAGAGGUAUGCAGGGGAGAACGGAAUUCCUGGUGUAGCGGUGAAAUGCGCAGAGUAUCAGGAGGAACACCGGUGGCGAAGGCGGUUCUCUGGGCAUGAUCUGACGCUGAGGAGCGAAAGUGUGGGGAGCGAACAGG